UAGGGUUACCCUGCUUGUCACAGCAUGGUCUCGUCAGAUCUCAGAAGCUAAGCAAUGCUGGGUUAGUACUUGGAUGGGAGAACAUUGGGAAUACCAUACGUGUCCUUGG
rnacentral:rRNA from 1 species